rnacentral:misc_RNA from 1 species
GAUGAAGAACGCAGCGAAAUGCGAUACGUAAUGUGAAUUGCAAAUUCAGUGAAUCAUCGAGUCUUUGAACGCACAUUGCGCCCCCUGGUAUUCCGGGGGGCAUGCCUGUCCGAGCGUCACUGCUGCCCUCAAGCACGGCUUGUGUGUUGGGCCCCGUCCUCCGAUCCCGGGGGACGGGCCCGAAAGGCAGCGGCGGCACCGCGUCCGGUCCUCGAGCGUAUGGGGCUUUGUCACCCGCUCUGUAGGCCCGGCCGGCGCUUGCCGAUCAACCCAAAUUUUUAUCCAGGUUGACCUCGGAUCAGGUAGGGAUACCCGCUGAACUUAAGCAUAUCAAUAAGCGGAGGA